GAGUUUGAUCAUGGCUCAGAGCGAACGCUGGCGGCAGGCCUAAUACAUGCAAGUCGAACGGAUCCUUCGGGAUUAGUGGCGGACGGGUGAGUAACACGUGGGAACGUGCCUUUUGGUUCGGAACAACUCAGGGAAACUUGAGCUAAUACCGAAUGUGCCCUUCGGGGGAAAGAUUUAUCGCCAUUAGAGCGGCCCGCGUCUGAUUAGCUAGUUGGUGGGGUAAAGGCCCACCAAGGCUACGAUCAGUAGCUGGUCUGAGAGGAUGAUCAGCCACACUGGGACUGAGACACGGCCCAGACUCCUACGGGAGGCAGCAGUAGGGAAUCUUGCGCAAUGGGCGAAAGCCUGACGCAGCCAUGCCGCGUGAAUGAUGAAGGUCUUAGGAUUGUAAAAUUCUUUCAGCAGGGACGAUAAUGACGGUACCCGCAGAAGAAGCCCGGCUAACUUCGUGCCAGCCGCCGCAGUAAC
rnacentral:rRNA from 1 species